CCUACGGGAGGCAGCAGUGGGGAAUAUUGCACAAUGGGGGAAACCCUGAUGCAGCGACGCCGCGUGAAGGAAGAAGUAUUUCGGUAUGUAAACCUCUAUCAGCAGGGAAGAAAAUGACGGUACCUGACUACGAAGCCACGGCUAACUCAGUUCCAGCAGCCGCGGUAAUAGGUAGGGGGCAAGCGUUAUCCGGAUUUACGGGGGGUAAAGGGAGCGUAGGCGGUUUAGCAAGUCAGAAGUGAAAGCUCGGGGCUCAACUCCGGGACUGCUUUUGAAACUGUUGAUCUAGAUUGCGGGAGAGGUAAGUGGAAUUCGUGGUGUAGCGGUGAAAUGCGUAGAUAUUAGGAGGAACACCAGUGGCGAAGGCGGCUUACUGGACUGUAAAUGACGCUGAGGCUCGAAAGCGUGGGGAGCAAACAGGAUUAGAUACCCUUGUAGUC
rnacentral:rRNA from 1 species